CAAAAUUCUUCAUCUUCAUAUUACUCCCAUGGCCAAGAAUCUGCCUCAAUAACACUCUUUUUUACUCUACUUUACUAUUUUAUCAACAAACAAAAAAAAUUGAAAAGUCAUGACUUCUUCCUACUCUUUAUGUUCUAUUAGAAACUCUACUAAAUUUGUAGCUAAUAAUUCUAAUCUUUUCUUUCCAAGACAGAGGCUUUGUGUGUUUACCAAUGAAACUCAGUUUCCCAAGAAAGAUUUUCUUGUACUCAAGCCACAAACAUGUUGUUUUUCAUUUUUGAGACUGAAAAAAUCCAGCUUUAAACACCCUUUUGCUGCUUUAUCAUCUUUUGCUGAAUCAGAUGAUGAAAAAGGUGAGAACUUUGAAAUCAAAUCCCACCAAGAAAAUACUAUUUCCUCUGAGGAUGAAGAUGAGUUACCUGGAAUGGCACAAGCUUUUCAUAUAUCUUCAAGAACAGCUUCUGCUAUAUCAAUAUGCAUUGCAUUAGCUGCACUGAUUUUGCCAUUUUUCAUGAAGUCAUUGGGUCAAGGAUUGGGAUUCAAGUACAAAAUUUUGUCAUAUGUAACAAUCUUGUUUGG
rnacentral:misc_RNA from 1 species